rnacentral:rRNA from 1 species
GUUGGUGAGGUAACGGCCCACCAAGGCGACGACGGGUAGCCGGCCUGAGAGGGUGACCGGCCACACUGGGACUGAGACACGGCCCAGACUCCUACGGGAGGCAGCAGUGGGGAAUAUUGCACAAUGGGCGCAAGCCUGAUGCAGCAACGCCGCGUGAGGGACGACGGCCUUCGGGUUGUAAACCUCUUUUAGUAGGGAAGAAGCGAAAGUGACGGUACCUGCAGAAAAAGCACCGGCUAACUACGUGCCAGCAGCCGCGGUAAUACGUAGGGUGCAAGCGUUAUCCGGAAUUAUUGGGCGUAAAGAGCUCGUAGGCGGUUUGUCGCGUCUGCUGUGAAAACCGGAGGCUCAACCUCCGGCCUGCAGUGGGUACGGGCAAACUAGAGUGCGGUAGGGGAGAUUGGAAUUCCUGGUGUAGCGGUGGAAUGCGCAGAUAUCAGGAGGAACACCGAUGGCGAAGGCAGAUCUCUGGGCCGUAACUGACGCUGAGGAGCGAAAGCGUGGGGAGCGAACAGGAUUAGAUACCCUGGUAGUCCACGCCGUAAACGUUGGGAACUAGAUGUGGGGGCCAUUCCACGGCUUCCGUGUCGCAGCCAACGCAUUAAGUUCCCCGCCUGGGGAGUACGGCCGCAAGGCUAAAACUCAAAGGAAUUGACGGGGGCCCGCACAAGCGGCGGAGCAUGCGGAUUAAUUCGAUGCAACGCGAAGAACCUUACCAAGGCUUGACAUAUACGAGAACGCUGCAGAAAUGUAGAACUCUUUGGACACUCGUAUACAGGUGGUGCAUGGUUGUCGUCAGCUCGUGUCGUGAGAUGUUGGGUUAAGUCCCGCAACGAGCGCAACCCUCGUUCUAUGUUGCCAGCACGUAAUGGUGGGAACUCAUAGGAGACUGCCGGGGUCAACUCGGAGGAAGGUGGGGAUGACGUCAAAUCAUCAUGCCCCUUAUGUCUUGGGCUUCACGCAUGCUACAAUGGCCGGUACAAAGGGCUGCAAUACCGCAAGGUGGAGCGAAUCCCAAAAAGCCGGUCUCAGUUCGGAUUGAGGUCUGCAACUCGACCUCAUGAAGUCGGAGUCGCUAGUAAUCGUGGAUCAGCAACGCCACGGUGAAUACGUUCCCGGGCCUUGUACACACCGCCCGUCAAGUCAUGAAAGUCGGUAACACCCGAAGCCAGUGGCCCAACCGCAAGGAGGGAGCUGUCGAAGGUGGGAUCGGUGAUUAGGACUAAGUCGGAACAAGGUAGCCGUACCGGAAGGUGCGGCUG